rnacentral:rRNA from 1 species
GACGAACGCUGGCGGCGUGCUUAACACAUGCAAGUCGAACGAAGAGCGAUGGAAGCUUGCUUCUAUCAAUCUUAGUGGCGAACGGGUGAGUAACGCGUAAUCAACCUGCCCUUCAGAGGGGGACAACAGUUGGAAACGACUGCUAAUACCGCAUACGAUCUAAUCUCGGCAUCGAGGAUAGAUGAAAGGUGGCCUCUACAUGUAAGCUAUCACUGAAGGAGGGGAUUGCGUCUGAUUAGCUAGUUGGAGGGGUAACGGCCCACCAAGGCGAUGAUCAGUAGCCGGUCUGAGAGGAUGAACGGCCACAUUGGGACUGAGACACGGCCCAGACUCCUACGGGAGGCAGCAGUGGGGAAUCUUCCGCAAUGGACGAAAGUCUGACGGAGCAACGCCGCGUGAGUGAUGACGGCCUUCGGGUUGUAAAGCUCUGUUAAUCGGGACGAAAGGCCUUCUUGCGAACAGUUAGAAGG